AUUGAACGCUAGCGGGAUGCCUUACACAUGCAAGUCGCACGGAGUGGCGAACGGGUGAGUAAUGUAUCGGAACGUGCCCAGUAGCGGGGGAUAACUACGCGAAAGCGUAGCUAAUACCGCAUACUAUUGGAGCGGCCGUUAUCGGAUUGGCUAGUUGGGGGGGGAAAGGCCCACCAAGGCGACGAGCCGUAGCUGGUUUGAGAGGACUACCCGCCACACUGGGACUGAGAACCGGCCCAGACUCCUACGGUAGGCAGCAGUGGGGAAUUUUGGACAAUGGGGGAAACCCUGAUCCAGCCAUCCCGCGUGUGCGAUGAAGGCCUUCGGGUUGUAAAGCACUUUUGGCAGGAAAGCGGUACCUGCAGAAUAAGCACCGGCUAACUACGUGCCAGCCGCCGCGGUAAUUC
rnacentral:rRNA from 1 species